UUAUAAGCCACCCUAGAAGAAGCUGAGAGGACAGGCUGCUGAACUGGUGGACCACGAAUUAAUGUGGAGAACGAGGCCGUCCGGGCUAGGUUCCCGGGGCUCAAAGACGCAAAGGGAAGGCGACAAAGGUUUCUCACAGGUCGCCGUUAGGGAGAGGGGGCAGCGCAGGAAACCCGUUUAUUUAAAGUUCAGUUGUGUUGGGCAUCUGAUCCAGGACAACUCGCCCAGGAGCCCGGCGGGUUUCAGCUGCCACCACGAAAACGGAGUUUCGCUCUUGUCGCCCAGGCUGGACUGCAAUGGCGCGAUCUCGGCUCACUGCAACCUCGCCUCCCGGGUACAAGCGAUUCUCCUGCCUCAGCCUCCCGAGUAGCUGAGAUCACAGGCGCCGGCCACCACGUCUGGCUAACUUUAGUAGAGACGGGGUUUCACCAUGUGGGUCAGGCUGGUCGCGAACUCCUGACCUCAGGUGAUCCACUCGCCUCGGCCUCCCAAAGUGUUGGGAUUACAGGCGUGAGCCACAGCGCCUGGCCG
rnacentral:lncRNA from 1 species